AGUCCAAAGCGGGUGGUAAACUCCAUCUAAGGCUAAAUAUAACCACGAGACCGAUAGCGAACAAGUACCGUGAGGGAAAGUUGAAAAGCACUUUGAAGAGAGAGUUCAAAAGUACGUGAAACCGUUUAGGGGUAAACCUGAGAAACCCGAAAGGUCGAAGGGAGAAAUUCAUUCGCGUUUCGCCGUCGGCGUGAGACUGAUAGAGUGACGGGGUGGUGAACGUGUUCGCACGGUCACCCACCGCGCCUUCAGUUUUUCGAUCCGGCAACGAACGUGUGCACUUUUCUCCUGGUAGGACGUCGCGAUCCGUUGAUCGUCGGUCUACGGCUAGCGAUGGGAGACCUAACGUACGACUCCACGUCGUCUCACGUUAGGACCCGCUAGUUCCGGCCGACGACUACCAAUCAGAAUCGACGGUAUACGAAAGGUUUAAGGCCGCUUCUUUAAAGCGUUCGACUCUAGGCAAGCGCGCCAGAUUUAGUGUUGGCGAUCGGACCAGGUGCCGAUUCUGACCGCUGGUGAUUGUCUGUUGGCCUCGAAGUUCUCGAACGGACCUUUUACCGAUCUGCGACGCUAUAGCUUUGGGUACUUUCAG
rnacentral:rRNA from 1 species